UACGUAGGGUGCAAGCGUUAAUCGGAAUCACUGGGCGUAAAGCGCGUGUAGGCGGCCCACUAAGUCUGAUGUGAAAGCCCGGGGCUCACCCCCGGAAGUGCAUUGGAAACUGGUGGACUCGAGUCCCGGAGAGGAGAGUGGAAUUCCUGGUGUAGCGGUGAAAUGCGUAGAUAUCAGGAGGAACACCGGUGGCGAAGGCGGCUCUCUGGACGGUGACUGACGCUGAGACGCGAAAGCGUGGGGAGCAAACAGG
rnacentral:rRNA from 1 species